rnacentral:rRNA from 1 species
GACGAACGCUGGCGGCGUGCUUAACACAUGCAAGUCGAACGGAAAGGCCCUGCUUUUGUGGGGUGCUCGAGUGGCGAACGGGUGAGUAACACGUGAGUAACCUGCCCUUGACUUUGGUAUAACUUCAGGAAACUGGGGCUAAUACCGGAUAGGAGCUCCUGCUGCAUGGUGGGGGUUGGAAAGUUUCGGCGGUUGGGGAUGGACUCGCGGCUUAUCAGCUUGUUGGUGGGGUAGUGGCUUACCAAGGCUUUGACGGGUAGCCGGCCUGAGAGGGUGACCCGCCACAUUGGGACUGAGAUACGGCCCAGACUCCUACGGGAGGCAGCAGUGGGGAAUAUUGCACAAUGGGCGGAAGCCUGAUGCAGCAACGCCGCGUGCGGGAUGACGGCCUUCGGGUUGUAAACCGAUUUCGCCUGUGACGAAGCGUGAGUGACGGUAAUGGGUAAAGAAGCACCGGCUAACUACGUG